AUAAGUUGCUUUUCCCACUUUUCAAAAGUAAGUUGCCUGCCGAUGCAGAAAUGAAAAAUACCCCCCAGCACAUUGUUAAAUGUGAUUUAUUUAGCCGGCGAGCAACUCGCCGAAAAGUUCCUGACUUUAUUUUGCACUCAUUCAUGGUUGCUUUUCGCCGUUUCGAGGAUGAGGACACAAGUCAGCCUUGAAAUUGUUUGAUAACAUUUCGUUUCUGUUUUGACACCUGAGUUAUGACAAGUCGCGAGUGGCUGCUAAUCAUUUCGCUUGUGCUCAUCUCUUCAGUUGGCUGUCAGUUUGUCAAGCCACACAAUGUUGUUAAAAACUGUCUUGGGUUCGCAAGUUGUAGAGCUUAACAACUUGUUUAUCCGAGCAGUGAGAAAUCUGGCUGUAGAGCUUAGUUAAUGUCACGGUACGAGUUUCGGUUAAUGUGAUUUCAAAAAACGUUAUCCUUGAUGUCCUUGUACAUUUAUUAUUGUCCAUAAAUAUACAUUAUACGCAGAAUUAAAGAGUAUACUAUAUUUAUUACUAUAUAGACUAGAUCAGUUCAUAAAAAAGUUAUGAUGAAGUACCGCCGCUAGGUGGAGCUAACUUCGAGAUUAAGAGAUACUUUGCUAGUAGUGUCACUCGACUACAGCGUUCUCGCUCAUGUUUUUUAGAAUCAAAACAAAAAAAACUUUAAAGUUUUCGUUUUAAUUUUAAAUUUUCUGAUACCUAGCAUAUUAAAAGAAGUCAAGUUAGCCAGCUCUAAUUGAAAGGCAAAGUUUCACAAAUUUCGGAACAAUGUUUUUCCUGCCCAAUUAGAAUAUGUCGACUGAAAUUGAAACGAAAACUAAGUAGUCUAUAGCUAGAGUUUUUCGCCGCCAAUGGCGAUGGAAACUUUGAUCCGUCAGCUGUGCCGACAAAGAAGCGACAGAAAAACUUUCAUACCGUUGAAUGCGGCAAAACGGGCAACGUGCAGCAACGUUUUUCAUGGUUUAUGCAAAAAAGGCGAAACCCGGCGACUUCAUUUUAAAAGCAAGCCACGCAUGAAGCGCCGUAUAAAGCGAAGAAAAUAAGAGGAAUAUUCUCCUCCACCCGGUUCAAUGGUCAAUUUUUUAUGCAACUCGUCGGCAACAAUGGUGCAAGCAAAGAAGGUGUGCCUGCCCCCAGAAUCGCACACACACUCGACACUCGAACGUACUCGUACGUAAUAUUGCUGCAACAAUGACACUGACAAUGAAAAGUUGCAACUGCGAAACUGAAAAAAAAAGCGGAUGCAUCGCCGUUGUUAUUGUGCAGGCAGCACCACCAACUAUGACGACAUCAGGUUCCAGACCGGCGGUUACUUUACACACAUACAUACACUGAACGAAAAUGUUCUGUUUCUGCUGUUUUCAUUAAAUAUGUAGAUAUGUUUCAGUAGUAAUUUUAGUGGGAUUUCAAAAGUGAUUAUAACCAUUAUUAACAAGCAAUCAAUCGUUUUUAAUGCAUAGUAUUAAAAUAACUUAAAUUUAUAGUUUUCAAAAGCAAUUAUUUUGUGUUCGUGUAUAGAAUUGAUAAAGGGUAGCAUAUAAAUCGAUUUAUUUUCUGAAAGUGCAAGCAAAAAUGUUCCCAUAACCAUGGAUAUAACAAAAGGCAUCUGCCACGCCCAUGUAAAGUUGUAGCAACAAUGGAAGAAGAAGAAUCUAAUGCAUAGCUAAACAAGUGAAAUGGGAGCAAUGGUGGGUAUUUUGGUUGAGUUCCAGAGAGCAGCUUUGUUGGCCAACUUUUUUUUUGUAUCUCCUUUUUUUUUUGACAAUCUACAAGCCAUUGUUGGUGCUGGCAAAAAAUUGUAUGCAAUUUGACAUUCCCAGAAAAACACACACACGUGUAUGGGGAAUCAACAACAACACUUGAGAAAACUAUUCUCAUGGGUGCAUUUAGCCAAGUAGCAAGUUUAUAUAAAUAUACAUACGCGUUUUGGGGUGCGGUGUAAUCAGUUUAAUGAGCUCACACACCAGCCACGCCCACCUGUCAGCUUAUUUAGUGCUAUUUAGUUUGAUUGCGACUGCUGCACAUUUUGAUGGAUGUAAAGUGCAAAUUCCGAAUAAAACAACCAAAUUGACAUUUCAUUUUAUUAACUUAGAUCGCAUUACAAGGCAAUUAAUUGGUUUGCAUUUGCAAUUACGAUAAUUAAAAGUGUCUCAAUCAGUUUGAAAUUUGUUUCGAUUGCUUCUAACCACGUCCGUUAACCAAGUAAAUAAUAUAUAUAAUAUCCUAUUCUAAAGUUCACUUUAUUUAGUUAUUAUUUUGCAGCCACUUAACUGCGUACAUAUGUAUCUCAAACGUUUGAAUGACUCAGGGCUCUAUUACUACUUUUAAAUGGCACACUUAAGUGCUCAAAGUUGACAUGACAAGCGUGGAAAGUAAAACAGCGGUGUCAAAGGUUUUUUUUUCACAUAACUGCCAUUGGUCACUUAGUCGCGGGGAGCAUAACAUAAACUUUAAUUUGUGAAAAGUGCAAAAUGUUCGCCUUUGCCACUCGCCACUCGCCGUUCGCUUACUCAUUUUCUAUUUAUGAGUUUUUGCUACCCCCCAGUUCAUAGUUAACCGCAUUUGUUGCCUGGUUUUUCCCCUUAAGUUUUUCCUCCCCAGCUUGUCCAACUUUAUUAGCCCCGGUGGGGUGGAGGAGCAAGUGUGUCGCGAGGUGUUUAUGCUUCUGAAGUUAUCAGGAGUUUCUUAACCCACUGGCGACACAUACACACAGCACUUUUAAUGCCAUUUUAGCAGCAUAUUAACUUUUGUAGUGGAAAUGAGCAGUCGUCGACGGACCCUAGAUUACAUUGUUGGUGUGUACACACUCAUUCAUCCAUUUUAAGGGGGUGGAGGCGACAAGGGGUGCGUUAAGUGCGUGUUAAAACCGACCAAGCGGCGCACGCACAUUGCUUAUCCGCCCCCUACGCGGCACCCCGAUCUCUUCCUCCUGCCAACCCAUUUAUAGCCCCUAGCUGGCACACUGUCUCGCUGCUCCACUCCCGCCAACUUGCAGGCAGCCAAGUAACGAAGCGUGAGCCCGGCGACCCCAGAAGCAGCCAAGGGGUUAACAUACACCGCAACACAAGUACUCAAUUACACUGACAGAAAUUAACCAGCAUCAGAUUUGUUACUCAAAUUGCUAUGUGAAACUAAGUAAGUUAAGAACAAUGGGCAGAUAUCUUAAAUUAAGUUUCCGUUUGAAAUGUUAAAUAAAUUUUAAAUUUCAAUAUACCAACUUAGAUAAGAACUGGUAUGAAGAUAACAACUUCCGUUACUAAAACCUAAAAUUUUUGCCAUAAUAUGCUUUCUAACCACAGAGAAGAAGUAAUCUUGCAAAGAAAUAAAUUUUGGCUUAUCUCAAACUUCAUUUAAUCUUCAAUUUUCUUUCAGUGCAACCAAGUGCAAUGUGUUCUUGAAUACUGCCUUAGCUGCUGUUGCCUGGAAAUCACAAUUUAUACACAAUGUUGUAAUAUAAUUUUUGCACAGCAAAACAGAAAGCAGCUCGAGUGGCACAUUGUUUGCUGGCGUCACUGUUGCUCCUUAUAUAGUACUCCACGACAGGAUCUCCCUCACUCCCUGCAACCCCUCUUUCCAUUCCCCCCACCGCAUUUUCCGGUUAUCCUUCGGGCUCUCGAGUGCAUUGACCAUGGCUGUGGGGACUUUAUGUGCAGUCGCUGCAAGUGCCAUAAAUGCAAUGCGGCUCACAUUUAUUUACGACUAUUUGAUUGCACUUGCUAUAACACUAUGCAAAUUUAUAGAAAAAUGCCUCUCUAGCACAACAGCUGCCCCGCACUCGACUCACUCCUUCGUUUCGGCCAGGAUGCCCAUUAACUUUUGCUGAACUGCGAACUUAUUGGCGCAUAAAUGUCAAUGACACGCAGAUGUUUUAAACUCGAUCCAUUUCGAAUUGUUUAAAACAGGGCUUUGGCAAAAAAAAAUGAGUAAUAGUUGCGGCUGUUGAAACUUUAAAUAAAUUGUAAUUUUUAGCUACAUAGCUUUGCGCUUAAUGAGUCGCUGUUGUUCUUUUAUUUCUUUGAUAAAUGAGCAACCAUUACAAAAUGUGAAAGUUGGAAGGCAAAAAGUUCUAUUCAUUAGUUUUGCUAUCAUUCUUGUGCCGUUCUCAGAGGAAACGAUAGCAACUUAUCUUUUUAAAUUUUGAAGAAAUUUCGGGCAACAAAAUUCCAAUGUAAACUGGCACCAUCGGCUGAGUAAUUGAAUACAAUUUUAUCCAGUCCUGUGCUGGAUCGCGCUUGGGUAUCGUGUUGCUAUGAAUAUGUAUCAGUCAACGAUGCAUGAAAUAAGCAGCCAAAAAUACAUAAAUACAGGACUUACGCCGCGUUUCGAUAACGAUGAUGCCGCGGGGGCAAUGUUGACGUUGGCAUAACAUACAAUAAUUUCCGGUAUUUGAUAGCAGCGGCAACGAAAGCCGAUGGAAGGAGCCGCUUUGCACAGCAGCAUGGAGUGGAGUUUGCAAUUGUAAACAAACAAAUUUCAUGCUACGUUGCACAAGUAACUUCACCCGCCUCCCCACCCGCCUCGCCACAUAGUUCUUGUGAUAAGGGAGAGCGACGGAUAACAUUCACAAAAAAAAAAAAAGAAGAAAGAAAGUGUGCCCAAAUUGACAUGCGACAGUCAUAGCCGGAAGUUCUAUUUUCCCUCUUUUAUUCCGGUUUUUGUGUAUUUCUUUUCAUACCCUCGGUGUGUGGGGUAUUUUGGGAUGUUUAUAUACUCACUUAGUUUAUUAUAUUAUGUAUAUUAUAUUAUGUAAUUUAUAUAUCUAACUAUGUAUACACCAUAACUUAGACCCUGGGAUCGGUUGCACAUAUAUACAGGGUAUCUGAUAGUCUCAUAACCCAACUAGUCUAGACUCUAGCGCUUUCUACGCCGUUUUUUUUUUUUUUAACAAAUCGGAUUGAAAUCAGACUGCAGCACAGAAGGCAACCGACGGCCAUGUUAAUUGGCAACGCUGCCGGCUGAAGUGGCCAUGAAAGGGGCAGAUGGAUAUUGAAAUCAAAUGCGUUUGAGCACAAUGGCCUCGCCCUGUGAUUGCGAUUGUGUGCGCCAGUGGACGGAGUGGUGGAGCUGCUCCAGCGGAGUGGGUGGAUGACCCCGUCCAAUCUGCUGCCCACGCGGCUGCGGUUGGAUGAAUCCAUUUUGCAUGCGUGGCGACAUGUGUCAACUUCUAUUAAGUUACCGUUGGUCAUUCAACCCGCGGUCACCGACAGAGUCGCCUGCAAUUUUUCAGUCUCUGCGGUCAGCAGUUGUUUGUUAGAACGGGUGUUUGCUGCAUCACAAUGUUCACAGACUAUCUUUUAUUUUGUAGUUGCAAUGUCAAGUUGCAGGUAUUUUAGUGCUCUGACUCAUUCUCAUUUCAUAUUAAUACAAGGUGUUUAAUGCAUGACUUUAACUAAUCAUAUGAAUUAAAAGCACGUACCUUACAUAUUCAAACAGUAUUGUAAGUAUGCAGCAUAACUACGUUACAUGCCACCAUGCCAUAUAGUAUGUAGUGAUUGAUAAAUAUUUUAUUACUGCUAGUACUAUGUAGUUAUUGGGUUAGAAUUUUCCGAUGAAGAAGCCUUCCUGCAGCAAAUUUGCCUCAUGCCAAAUUCCGAUUAAUAAGCCACUCCCCCCUCUUUUCUACAACAUACGAUCCGCUUAUAAUUUAACCAUAAUGGUGCCCCUACUCCUCAAUCGGCAAUGGAAUGUGCAACGAACAUUUCCAAUCAAAUACGAUUUCGAGCAUGCAAAUCAACUAGCCAGCAAUCGCAGUCGGUUUCCUGUCUAUUACACUGAAAGGGCGGCAACUGAACUGGACGAGCUAAUUACAAAGCAGCUCACCAGAAAUGGGUCAUCUGCAUCGUUAGUUGCUGCUGAAUCUCAAUUCAAAUCUGACCGCAUAAUUACAAUGCAAAAGUCAACAAAAAUCAAGUGCACACAGAUACAGAUACAAACGCAGAUACGGAUACAGAUUCAGACACACUCACACACAAAUUGCAAUUAGAAGUGACAAAUUACGAAACAGGCAACAAGAGCCGAAUGUAAAAACUGUCAGAUAAACAUUCAUAUGUUUUAUUUUGCAACUGUACAGAAUGCAUAUUAAAUUGUAAUUAUUUUCAUACUUCAGAGUCGUUAUGUAUGAGUGCUCACAUUUUGUUUAAUACUUUCUUUUUUUAGCUGACAUCAGAAUAAUUUGUACUCUGCAAACUUUUGUACUACUAUCUUUUAUGUUUUUUUUUUUGUCAGUUGUCUGAAAAUUGUUGUUUGCCAACCGCACAACAAUUGCAUUUGAUAGAGGAGCGAACACACACCGCUCCCCGCACCGCUGGUAUGGAAAUUGCGGUUAAUUGAAUUCACUGAACUGGGUUCACAGUCAGCUGCUACUGCCGUUGACCGCUGCCCCAUGUGCGUGGCACAUUGUCCCCCCUCCAGCUCCUCCUCCUCCACUCACCAUCCACCACCCACCAUAUCGCCAUAUGUGAAAAUUAAUUGAAGUUGUGCAGUUUUAUGGGGUUUCGCAGCGCUGACCAACGCAGAAUGGCGGACAACAACCGGCGACAACGACAACUACCAAAAAUCUCGCAUGACUAACUUUUUAUGCCCCACCUCAUACCGCCGGCCAAAAAAGUAUGUUUGAUGGGGGUGGGUGUUUUACUUUUUAUAAGCACGCCGAACCGUUUUUAUGAGCACCACACCACGAACACCAGCACCACCUCAGAAAUGACAAUGUCCAGUGUACACAGUGUUUAUUAUUUUUACGCUUUACUUUUAAUUGACAUUUGUCCCAGCAUAAUGAAUCGCUGAUAUGCAACAUGCCAACUUUUCAUAUUUCAUGUUUGUUCAAACUUAUGCCUUGUGUUUUUGUCCUUAAACACGAACGGAGUUUUGUAUUCAAUGUCAGUUGAAUCGAGUAAAGCUGUGCUCUUGCAAAUUAUAUUUAAGACUUUUUGGUUUAUUAAAAAACUUAAACUUGUUUAAUUACCUAAAUGUAUUUGGCUAAGCUCUGUUAAACUAAUCUUUGUUGCACAGCCCUCUUUAAUAUCACACUUAGUAUGCACUGCAUGCUGCUAUGUUCAGUUCCGUGCUGCUGCCCUCGACUCAUCCGCGUAGUCAUCCUCCGGCACUCCGGAUUUAUCCAUAAUGUCGCUUCUGUGGAGGAGGGCCUCUGCCCCCUUUUGGCAUCCGAGUCGUCAGUCUGACUCAUUCUCCUCGCGAUGGCUUCUUGUGAUACACUUCGUUUGGUUUUGUUGCUCGUACCCCUUUUGUUUGAUGUUAUGCAGAGUUGUUGUUCGUGUUGCUGUUGGUGUUCAGUCUAUGUGGCGUGAAAAUUUAAAUUAGAUUUUAAAAUUUAAUAAAUGUUUUGGGCAAAUGAAAAGGUGCGAUAAGCAACUCACGUCGCAACACCUUUAUACCUGCCACCUGACAGCUCACCUUCAGUUUUCCGCCGGAUUGCUGCGAGUGCAGUUCAGAUCAGAGAGCGUGAAAACAUUUCGCAACAUUUAAGUCGCUUUUAAUGGCUUUUUUGUCUAGCUGGGUGGUACUGGGUACCUACCUGUACCAUCAUCAUCGCCAUCAUCAUCAUCAUUGCCAUCAGCAUUCUAUGACAGACAAACACACCAGAUGAAAGUUCCCAGCCAUGACAUUGUGUGUUGCUCUGUCACUUCAACGGGGGGUUGGGGAUAUCGCUUUUAUUUUUCAGCAGCUAUUUUCGGGAUGGGGUUGCUGCAACUAGAUUGCACAUUUGUGUUGCAUGCCACUUUGAUUGCCUUGCCGAAACGCAACAUGUCUGCGAAUUGGGUUGUUAUUGCCGAUAUAUCACAAUGAAGCAAUCUGUCAUCAUAAUCGUCCGAUAUGGAAGGGGAAUGAUGCGGGGUAUAAAAUCUUGCUCUUCAUCUAAUGUGGUCAUCAAAAACGCUGACAUUUUGACGUAGAGUGCAUACUAUAAAGUAUACAAUAUACGAUAGUACUCUGUUUUCACACAUUUUUAGCGAUUAAAUAAAUAAAUGGGUGAAUAAAUGUUUAUUUUAGCUCUUCAUAGCACUUUAUAUUAGACGGCAAAUAUUUUUCUAAAAUAUAGUGGGAUAGAAUAGAACCGAGUCUAAGCCGCAUUUAUUUUCGCAUUGUGCAGUCAUAUUCAAUGGGAGACGCAAACAGACUGAAAAGAAAAACAAAUAAAUAUAAAUUGACGGAAAUUAGAUUUAUGACCAUCAUAAUUUCUAUGCCAGGCUUAGUGGGCAUAUCAAUUUAAUCUAGAAAUAAAAAAUAAACAAAGGAUUUUUGGCAAAUAUCUAAAUAUUUGGCUCUUAAAUACAAAUACCAUAUUUAGAGGUUGCUGAAACUGAAUGACUUAAGCAUAAACUCCAUAAAUUGGUUGUUCUUGUACAUAUUUUGUAUCAAAAGAAUCUUAAGCAGUCUCUAAAAACUGAGAUCCUCUUUAAAUGCAUUUAAUUUAAUAAAUGUCAUAUAUACCCUGUAUAUUCAGCGCUCAAUAAAUGCGAAGUACCAAUAGCAAAACCGCAUCAUACGAACAUAUCAGGACGAAAUGAAACGGUGCAACGAUUUUAUUGACGCGACAGAAUGGGAUAAUCGGGAAUGGAUGCGGAGGUGGAGGAGAUGUGCAUGUUGAACAAUUCAAUUUACCACAAACUCGUUAUUUUGGGGAAUCCGGCCAGGAUUCCCCCCGAAUUGAUCCCCUUAACCCGUAACCCCAUAGCCCCAUAGCCCGCACCCUGUUCGUAUCCACAUCGCUAGCACCUGGACCGCGGACAGGGCUCAAACCAAUAAUUGUAGCCGACAGGUGUGGACCCCGAGUACGGAGUACUGGAUGGCUGGCUGGUUGGCUGUCUGGGUGGGUUGGGGUGCAAAAUGUAUUUAAAAUCUGUUGGCGUCAUCAACGAAAUGGGGACAUUUUCUGGUUUUUCGGGGUAGAUGGCCAGCACUCUACGAAUCUGGCAAAUAUUUAUGCAAAUGUUUGGCUGCAGUACUGUUGCCACUCUUAUCCAAACUGUCCAGGUGACAGCAGCACAGCGGGGAUGCGUUUGGAGUCGAGUCCGCAGGCAAAAUGGGUCCAAGGUUUUGGGUGUGAGACGUUCGUGAUUCUGUCCGAGAAAUAUUAAAUUAAUCGUUGCGGUUGACGUUGCACAAGAUGCCAUUCCUGCCGAAAGGAUUCUACUUUAAAAUAUCGUAGAUUCUCUUUAAACAAAGUUACUCUGAUUGCAGAAAUAUUCCAGCAAAUCAAUCUACCAUGAAAUAUUCCGUUUUAUAGAAAUUAAAAGUGUUAAAAAAGAAAAAUAUAGUUUUAUCUUAAGGCACAAAUAUUUGAUUUUAGAUUUCAAAUAAAUUACGUGUAAAAUGCGUAUGGAAACACAAGCUGGGUAAACACAAUGGCACGAAAAAUGCCACCCGAAACUUUUACAAUCAAGAGUUAAGCAGAAGUUUAUAAUAUCGUGCGGCCACAUGGCGUAUGCGUAAUGUGUCCAAAUGGGGUUUACCAAGCAUUACAUGACUCCAGAAAGUGGGCAAGCAUGUGGAAUUAGGAUAAAUAUAUAUAUGGGCCAACAUACGACUAUGUGCAACAUGACAAGCAUCAGCUAGAGGAAGAAUCUGGUUGCUUUGGCCAAUGUCUUGGAGCAUUAUUCGUGCGGAAUCUGUAGAGGACUGCCUGCAGUUGAUGUCCUAGCAACAGCUGCAGUACCAGACGAAAUUUAAACAAUUUUAAAAUUCACACACACACGUGGUGUUUACCAAGGACAUUGCUCUCUGCCCAACUUCAAAAUAUGCAUAAAUCUUGUGCUGCAAAUUUAUAUUUACAUGUUGCUCGUGCUAUUUAACAACAUUUGGUCAUCACAACCAGGCCUGGCCAGGCACAUUAUAGGGCUUCCUCUUCCUCUGCAUUCCUCUGCACUUCAGUUGCUGCGGCUUCCUCCGAAAGUUUUGCGUUUUAACACUUUGCAACUGUCCACUGCGUUUUGGGUGGAUGUUGCCGGAGUUUCGGCUACAGCUUGCUACAAGUUGUUUGUUUUAUUACAAGUGCCAAAUAAUUUAACUGCUAAAUUAUUAAAUUUCCCUGUGAAUGGUCGCCUGUCUGAGUUGGUGUGUUCAUGUGGGGGAAUUUGUGUAUAUUUAUACGUAAAUAUAUAUAUUUGUAAGUUGGCUGCUCUCGUUCGUUGUGCUCGUAAAUUUGUUGGUGACCAAGCGCCUUGGGAGCCCAGUGUCAGUUCAAUGGGCCAUUUGGGGAAUCUGUUUGUUCGUACAGACAUCCAUAAAUACGCACAUGUUUGUGUUUAAUUAAAAUGGGCAUUAGGUUGUUGGGCUAGUGCCUGCUCACACAAAUAUAUGUAAAAAUACAUCAUUUGAUUCGGAGAUGGAUAAGCAAAUACUGUGCAGAACUCCAACUUGUCGUAAACUCAAGGAGCGCAGCAAGGACAUCGUUGGAAACCGCAACCCUUGGAUAAAACGGGGCAGUCAUUGAAGGGAAAUCCGGGCAUUGAACACUUCAUUUAGCAAGUUUAAAUUGAAGUGAAAAUUGCGGUUGGUCGGGAACCCAACACUGCUAGCAAACUUCGAAAAAAGCCCCAAAUUUGCUAUAUGAAGUGUAAAAGUACUACCAACCUGUAACGACAAAAGCAACAUCAACCAUCGAUUAUGGUAGGCAACCUCUCAAACCAGACUUUUAGCCAGGAUAGAAAGGAAAGCUGAAAUAGACGGCGUUUGUUAGUCGCCCGCUGGCUGUCAUGCGGUCUUUUUUAAGUGCUUUACGGUUUAUUUUCGGGACAAUUUCGGGACACGGUGGACGGAAUUUUCGGAGGGGUGUCAGCCACUUGAUAAUGACGAUGACAACGACUACGACAUUGGCAACUCUGUUGUCAUAGGCGACUGUAACUGCUGCCAAACACACAAACGUGGCCUCUUAUGUCCUGUGGCUCGAAAAACGUAGCAGCCCCUCGAGUGUUUCAAUUGAAUUUGAAACAAGUUUCGAAUUGUUCGCAUUGGCCAAAGAGCUCCCUAGUGCUAUUGACUUUGUGUAAUGCUGAUCAGAAAUCGAUGGUAUUAGUGUUGUGCCCGGAUUAUAUUCUGCCUAAAUGCUAAAUCCUUGGUAGUAAAGAAAUAGAGAGUAAAUAUAUAAAUAAAUAGUUUAAUCCUGCCUGUCUAGCAUUUAUUUUAUGGAGCAACAUAAGCCCUCAUGAACUCAACACCUCACACAAAGUUAGCAACAUGACAAAGGGCAUAAUGCACUUCUUAACAGUGGAUUAUACUUGGGGGAAUCUAUAGAAGACUAUAACCACAGCCAUAAACCACUUUUAUCAUGGCCCUGCACAAAGAUUCUCACUCCUCAGAUCGACCGUUCACCACCCGCCCAACAUUACUAGCCAUCCUUAUUUCGCCUGCCCGACUUACUUUGCCGAAUCUCCGUCUCUUCCCCUUUUGGCCAAGUGGGGCAGGAAACUCCUUUCUGCUUAUCUGUCGUCUCGCUCUGGCAAAAGGCAAUGCCAAAAUUUCAAACCAACCGGGCAAGUAAAUAUUUCCAGUUUUCGGCCACAAAUGCAAUUGGGCUUGAUGAUAUUUGUUGCUUCCGUUUUGGUUUGCAGUUGAGGAAAUGAAGCUUAUGCAGUUAUUUUCUGUGCUACACUGUUGUCUUAAAUUGGUAAAGGUAUUUAUUUAUUUCACAAAUAUUAGCCAAGAUAAAUAUUGGCCUUGCUUUAAGCUGACUAAUUUUUGGGCUGUGCUAUCUUUUCUGUUUAUGCUAAUACUUAAACGUAUAAUUUUCGCUAGAAAUUGCUAUUUUUUACGGUUUACAACGUUACUUUCAGCUGGCUUGGCCCAACACUCUAUUUUGUCAAUCACUAUCAGUUAGGCCAUAAGUUCCAAGUGUCGUAACCAGUUUUCUGCGGCCCCCUUCAGUCACCUGUCCCUACAUUGAUAUAAAUGUAUACAAGUGUGUGUGUGUGUGUGUGUGUGUGUGUGUGUGUGUGUGUGUGUGUGUGUGUGUGUGUGUGUGUGAGUGCGUGGGCUUUCAAACAUGUACAACCGAAUAAGGUUCUCCAUUUAUUUUAUGGCCAAGCUGCAUGCAAUGAAAAUUCCCAACAAUUUGGUAAGCCCACCACCAUUACACCACCAUUCCAUUCCGCAGACCUCGUCCAUAUGGUGUUGGCCACAUUCUCCGGAUUGGGUGGUUCAAUAUACCCACAUUUGUGCAUUCUCGGAUGUCUUAUCAGUGCCAGCCUUAGGCACAAGCCUCCGAACAUAGUUUAGUUUAAAAUUCCGGGGCGUAUUCCUCGUCCUCGAUGCGAAAUUCUCUGUGCCUGUGUACCAGGUCCUGCGUUCAAUGUCAGGCAGCUGUCCUGGUCCAAGUGGUAGUUUGUGCUUUGUGUGACAAGUCGACAUAUUUCUCUUGGUUUUUGGACCGGGCUUGUUGAUAUUGCACUUUGCCUUGCAUGCAAAAUGCUGCCUACAAGGAGUUGAAGCAGCUGCACACCAAAGGAGCAGGUCAAAAGCCAAACAGUUGCACUGCCGAAUGAACUUUUCUAAUUCCAUGAGCCAUGAGCAGCAGAGCAACCGGGAGGAGAGCCACUAACCUACCCCAACCUGCAGGACUAUCCACAGGACCAAUCAGGCUGGGAUCCUGUGGCUCGUUUCCAUUUGCCUGGCAGGGGAAAUUAUUCCGUCGUUAAUUAGUGCCUGAUAGAGACGAGCCCAUACAUUUGGCUUAUUUCUAGACCAUUUAGAGCCAGGCAUCAGUGCUCUGUCGUUUCGGAAACUUUUUCUUUUUCAUUUGCCCCAAAGUCAUACCAGGAACCGCCGUCACCAUCGCCAUCACCAUCACCGCCUUCAUCAUCAUCAUCAUCAUUGUCAUCGUCAUCGUAGUCGAUGUCCUUGUCAUCGACCGCCUUUAGUUUGCACUUGACCACAAAUUGCUUGGCUACCGUUUGCUUUUGCCUUCUAACUAAGCUUUUGUCGUUCGACUUCAACGUCCAUUCGCACAGAUACAAAUUUUGUUUAUCUUUUGCUGGCACUUGAGUUAAGUCGAGCUGAGUGCAAAGUUACGGCUGAUUGGAAGUGGAGAUGCGGAUCCGGAUGCGAAAACGAAUACGAAUACGAAUUCGAAUGCCAAGCUGAGUUCUGACAGCUGCGACAAUUAGGCUUCUAUCCUUCUGCCUUCGAGUCCUUUGUAAUUUGAAGUCCUGCAUUGAAUAACUCAAUUUGAGUUGAUUGUGACAUGUUUUCCGGCUUGCAAUGGAAGUGAAUACGAAAUUAUUUGAUUAUGAUUGAAUUUCGUAGUUUUAAUUAAAUAAAUUGGAGCAAAUCAUCGUUUACUUGCAUUUCAAUGUUAAUAAUACCGAAACGUAGCAACUUUCUAACCUAAUUGAAAACCAUCUUUUCAUAUUAAGCGCACAUAAAUAAUUUAUGCCUUUCCACCACAAAUCUAUUGCCAUUCAAAGACGCAUUUACUCCAAGUCACCCAGCAUAUGUAGAAACCACAAAAACUCCAUGCAUACGUACCGUAUCACUGUUUUGAUCAAUGUAUUUAAUAUUAAUGUGUUCUCGUGUGACUAAGACCAGAUGAAGAAAAACUACGGAAAUGAGAGAAUCGCAUUCGAGGAUGGAUGGGUCGUAGGGUGUAAUUCAUUCAAAAGAAGGCCAAAAGGCCGGGCCAGAAAAACUAAUUUGUAUGCGGAAGGCAGCGGGUGUCGCCAAACGGACGGACUUUCGUUCUGUUGGACGUUUUGUUUUGCUUUUCGCCAUGAACGCGGCCAAAAUGCGUAAUCUUUUUUGCUGGCCCAACGUGGCUUUGGUUUUCCUGAGUGUGGCUUUAUGCGAAAGUGCCAAAGCGCAGGUGACGACGAUGACGGCGACACUUUUUGCUGGAGAAGUGUGACAACAACGGAAGGCUGUCGCCACGGCCAAAAGACAUUAGUUAUCCAUAUGGGCGGGUGGAUGGUAGGUCAUGGAUAAGGGGCCCCCUAAGACCUAUUUAGAGUCCUUGGGCGUUGAAAAGCGUUAAGAUGCCAAUGUAUACCAAUGGAAUGCAAACGAAACAAUGUCGGAAUAUAGGAAUAUCAUGUUGCAUCAUGUUGUUUAAAUGCACUUUUCAGUUCAAAUUUGUAAAUUGAAUAAAUGGAAUGAAGUUGAUCAAGUAAUAUGUAAUCAAUAAACCAACUUAAAUGUAUGGAAAAAGGAACAAGCUUAUUAAUUUGAUGAUGUACCCAAAGGAUACUCCAUUCCUCAUUUUUCAUAGCAAUCAUCGCCGAACAAUUGCUCAAAUUAAAACAUUUUUAAUUAAGGCAAACAUAAAAAGCGUAACAAUUGUCGGGCAAACAAAUUAAGUCUAAGUUGGCGAACAAAACUCGCUGACGAUGCUCAUGAGAACGCAUGUGGGGGCCGAAGGGCGCGGCGGGGCUGGAUAAACAAAAGAAGAAAUGAUUAAAUAAAUAAACAGCAGCGGGAACGGUAACAACGUGGUAAUCAAAUCAUUUACAAAAUAAAAGCAAAUUGAGAAAAUUGCAUGAAUUGUGCUCCCGACAUUUACACAUCAGCAGCAGCAGAAAGCAGGGAAAAUUUUUGCGAUGAUUUUUACUUGUUAGUGGGAAAAGCAGCGCCAACAGCAAACUCGCACAUGCCACGCCCAUGUAAUGUACGCCCACGACUUGGGGCACAGCAUUUAUUGCGCCCAGAUGUAUGCUAUAUUAUU
rnacentral:sRNA from 13 species